rnacentral:rRNA from 1 species
AUUGAACGCUGGCGGCAGGCCUAACACAUGCAAGUCGAACGGUAGCACAGAGAGCUUGCUCUCGGGUGACGAGUGGCGGACGGGUGAGUAACGUCUGGGAAACUGCCCGAUGGAGGGGGAUAACUACUGGAAACGGUAGCUAAUACCGCAUAACGUCGCAAGACCAAAGUGGGGGACCGUCGGGCCUCACACCAUCGGAUGGGCCCAGAUGGGAUUAGCUAGUAGGUGGGGUAAUGGCUCACCUAGGCGACGAUCCAUAGCUGGUCUGAGAGGAUGACCAGCCACACUGGAACUGAGACACGGUCCAGACUCCUACGGGAGGCAGCAGUGGGGAAUAUUGCACAAUGGGCGCAAGCCUGAUGCAGCCAUGCCGCGUGUAUGAAGAAGGCCUUCGGGUUGUAAAGUACUUUCAGCGGGGAGGAAGGCGGUGAAGUUAAUAGCUUCACCGAUUGACGUUACCCGCAGAAGAAGCACCGGCUAACUCCGUGCCAGCCGCCGCCGUAA